rnacentral:misc_RNA from 1 species
GAGGGUAGGAGCCAAGAGGGGCGAGAGAGGGCAGCACCUCCCGCUCCCCGACACUGUUGACAUUUGGCUAUGGUGGAGCUACGCCAGUCCGCGUACUUAUAAUUUGCGAUGUUGGUAACAAUGAUGUGAGUCAUGCUGCACAUCCUGCUUCUGUACACUCUUGUCCAAGGAGCAGAUAUCGUGCACUGCCUCUUAACUCCGAAGGAGGACAACCAAUGGGACAUCCCUGGGAUGACUUACCCAGGGGCCAAAUCAUCAUGGGAAUGCAUCGGCCUGGAUGGCGAGCGUGUUCCCAAUGGGGAGACGUUUGUCCCGGGUCCUGACUACUGUACUGUCUGCAAAUGUGAUGAGGGCAAAGCUCGGGUGUGUCAAGCUGUUCUCUGCCAGCCACCACAAGAUUGUAAGUCCUUUCGCUUGGGUCAGAAAUGUUGUGACUUCAUCUGUCUGGAUGACAUGCUUCCUAACCUGCCAGAUGGCAAUGGAAACAAUCAAUCCACAGAUUUAGGGCUGCGUAUGGUAGCUUCUGCUGUAACUGCAAUACUGUCCCUUGCUCUGCUGCUGUUUCUUAUACAUAGACUCAGGCAGCGCCGGAUAAGAGCUCAGCAGCAGUAUUAUGAAGAUCAAUUGGACUCUCCAGUAGGACCCAACUACCCAGACCCUUGUCACAAUAAUGCAUGCUGCCAUAAUGCUGCAUAUUGCAAUGGUAAUGACCAUGUGGAUUUUUUCUUAGAUGGUCAUACACCACCUUAUUCACUGUGGAAGCCUCCUUCAUUUUACUUUCCACAUGAAGAUGCUCCCCCACCAUAUAGUGAAGUGGUGGGUAGUUCGUACAGACUAUCGGAGGCCAGUAAUUCUUUGCCUGCACUGGGCCCACUUAUGGUACAACUUGGACCACCACCUGGCGAGUCGUCAGAUACCAGUGGCGGGGCUUUAGCAUUGAUUGGUGCCAUUGGUGGCAGCUAUAGAAGGCCCUGCUCUUCUUCACAUACUCUUCACAACAUCUAUUCUGAAAGUGCAAAGGGAAGACAUGUCGCACUUAGAUCUGAUGAAAUGUACGAGGAAGUUGAUGGUAUUCCAGAGGACCUUCCUCCUCCAUACUAUCCCCCAGUACAGCCUUUAAAUGAUCUCAACCGUGUCAGUGAGGCAAGACCUGUGGAAGAAGUGGUGCCUGUUUGUAAUGAUGCUGAAUGUUCAGGUGUUGCAGCAACACAGGAGUGUGUGUGUGGUGCCAAUGAUCCUAGCUGCAGUCUGUGUGCUGUGCCUGAACAUGAUGCCACUAGCAAUGAUAAAACAGUACAACAGCCCUCAGUGUCUCCGGUAAGGAUGCGUUCUAGAGAGCAUCGUUCAUCAGUGGUUCAGAGAGAAGGUGACCGUACCUCUACCUUGGAAGAGUUUCAGCUAUGCCUCGCGAUGGAUAUAUCAGAUUCAUCAACCUCGUCUGAUGUUCCUACACGAACAUUUUCCUCAUCUUCUGAAGAUUCUACCUCCAUGGACACAACAUCAGAAAUGCGGUGAAUUGUGAAGCAAUUAGUUGAUGUUGGGAUGUUAGUCAUUAAAUCAAAUUUGACUGUGUAUAAAACAAAAAAAAUUCAAACAUAUGAACAUCUUGAGUGCUCCACGAAGAGUCAUUUGUCAUGGCUAAUGAUGUGUAUUCUGUCAUGGGGAUUCAUCCAGGACAUGCAGUAAUGUUUUUCAGGAAGUGCUCUGUUCAGCAUGGUUCAAAGAUAUUGGGAGUUGACGUAACUGGGGAAGUGUGACAAAUGAGAUACAAAAAUACAGCAGAGCAAGUUUGAAGGUGAAUCCGAUAAAGGAGGGAUAGUAUAAAGGUUUGGCUUUUGCUGGAGCAGCUGACUGUGAGACAGGUGGCAGGGUGAUAGUUGUGGAACAGUGGUGGUGGUGUAGCAGCUGACUGGAAAACAGGUGGCAGGGUGAUGGUUGUUGAACAGCUGACUGGAAAACAGAUGGCAAUAAGGUGGGUGUUUGCAAGUAAAGUGAUAUUUUAGGGUAAAUAUAGUACAAUACAUUUAAGGUUUUUGUAGACUCCUUAAUGAAGCUAAACUUCUCUAGGUAAUGUUAUUGUUUGUAUUUGUAACUUAUCAUAAAUGUUUUUUAUUAUAUUUAUAUAAUUUGGCACUAUAUCAUUAUUUAUAAACCUCACCUCUAAUAACCAAGGAUUAUCAGAAAGGACAUGUUAUUUACAAAAAUGUAUUAAUACUGCAUUUAAGAUAAUCAUUAGAAAUACUAGAAAAAUGAUUUAAGUGCUCAUAUGUCAUUUGCAUAGUGUUUUAAUAGUUUUUCUGAUUUUCAUAAUUAUUUUACAUUAAAUGUCUUUAGCCUUACUUAAAAAAUAUAUAAGGCUUUGGAGUGUUGUAGAUGAAAAGCCCCCUUCUGCGUAUGUCACUCUGGUGGGACCUUAAGCAAUGUUUUGCUCUCAUGGAUAUGGCAAAGUACCAGCCAGGUCAGUGGCACUUUUACAUCCACAAUGCAGGCUUUUCAAUCCACUUUGCCCAAUGUCUCCACUUCCCUUUAGUGGAAGACACACAUUGGAGAAGUGUGGGGCCAUCAGGAAAUGACCUCUAGGAGAUUUGUUCAUCUAUACUUAAAUACUGUUUGGAAGAUGUAUUUUAACUUCAAAGAAAUCAUGAAGCUUUUCUCUGUUAAUAGUAAGUUUACUACUUAACUACUACCCCAACCCUCCAGCACAUAUAUAGCAUGUACAAAUGGGCACCUGGGAACCCUAACCUUGCCUUCAUAUGAAAUCGCUCGCAAGAGUGUUGGGCAUAUCAGAACAAAAUGGGAGGGUUACGUGAAUGACUACGUAGUUGGAAUGAGCUUAAUAUCUACAAAGCUUUAUUUCUGAGCUUGGCUCACUUGGUUGAUUUCUUAGACAAGAAUCUCAGUCUUUAUUGGAGAAUUUUGCCAGGGCUGAAAAAAUUAGUUUUAGGAUCCUCAGGUUCUUUGGUAUUUUUGUCAUUGGUAUUAACACUCUAUGAAGAGGUUUGUUUGCUUUUAAAAGACAAAUGACCAAUUAGCACAGUUGUACCCUACCUGACAAUCUCUUUCAAGGAGAGUACCACUUGAGGAAUGUAUUUUGAGUGUAGGUGAAAGUAAAUGCUGGAGAUUUUGAGAUAGGAUUAAGAAUUCUCAGGUCUCUUACCCUGCAUUAAUGUGGCAGGUAAUAUGUAAGGAUCCUCCUGCUGUGUUUGGUAUAUGACUGUCACACUGACAUGACUAAUAUGGUGUUGCUGUGGGAAAUAGAGACAGGGCCUAUGGCACCAACUUGGUUGGUUGAGCUAAAAAAAAAAAAAGAAAAUGCAUAGCUUAUACUGUUGACAGUGAAUGUUAAAUUAAUUUUGGAAUUAUAUUCAACUGAUGAGCACUGGUUCAUGUUUCCUUUUAGAUACACCUUAGAAUAAAGAUGUUAUGUACUUCAUGCUGCUUUGUAUAAGAUGUCUUUUUUUUUAUAAGUAAACUGAAGUAAAACACUUGCUUCAUGGAGAUUUAAUUAGUUUCAUUGAAAAAUAUAUAAAUAAUAUAAUUUUGUGAUAAAACAGCAUGCCAGGUAUUAAUGGAACCUGCUUCUUGGGCAGUACAGUAAGGAGCUUGCCAUCAUAGUAAUCAAUAUAGAGGAAUAUUAAAGCUUGAGACCAAAAUGUUGGUAAUGUAAAUGCCUAGAAUGGACUACUUGAGUCAAAAGUUAUUGGUACAUUUAAAAAUACUUAAUAUUUUGUCCCACGAAUGACGAAGUAUGGCAUAAAAAAUUUAGUAGACGAAUGUCCACCAAUAACGCAGCAUGGUGUCAAAAAUGUUAAAAAUUGGCCUGCUUUCGGCCUGGCUGCGGGAGGGAGGCGCUGCAGUUUUGGAUAUUAUAUGCAUAUACUCCUGUAGGGAAUUUCAUUGCGAAUACAUUGAUACCAAAAUGAAAGACCUAGGACCAGAAUUAAGGUAACAAAGUUGAAAAGAGUAUACACAUUUUAUUGCUUUUUAUUUGCGCUCACAGGGGUAACGCUCCAUCAAUUUCUCUGUUUGCUAUGGGUGGUACGCCGGGCUUUUGGACAUUAUAUGCAUGUACUCCUGUAGGUAAUUCCAUUGCAAACACAAUGAUACCAAAAUAAAAGAUCUAGGACAAGAAUUGAGGUGGCCAAAGUGAAGAGUGUGUAUACACAUUUUAUUGCUCUUGCACGCUCUCUGAUAACACGCUUUCAUUUUCUGAUUGUGGUGGCUUUAUAUGCAAUGUCCUGUAGAGAAUUCUAUUGCAAACACAUUGAUGCCAAAUUGAAAAAUCUAAGACGAGAAUUGAUGACAAAGUUGAAAAGAGUAUACACUUUUCAGUAUUACCAUGCUCUAAUGUAAUGCCAGGCAUGCCUUGUGGUGGCGCAGCGCUCUCUUGCGGGUAACCUUGGCUCACUUUCAUCUUGUCGGCGGUUGAGCGUGGCGUGGUUUUUGACAUUAUGUGCAUAUACUCCUGUUGGGAAUUAUAUUGCGAACCCAUUGAUACCAAAAUGAAAGACCUAGGACGAGAAUUGAGGUGACCAAAGUUAAAAGAAUGUACACAUUUUAUUGCUCUUGCGUGCUCCCAGGUAACUCACUCUCACUUUCUCUGUAUGCUGCGGGUGGUAAGCUGGGCUUUUGGAAUUUGUGGUUUUAGUCCUGUAGAGCAUUCUAUUGCGAACACAUUGAUACAAAAUUGAAAAACCUAGGAUGAGAAUUGAGGUGACAAAGUUGAAAAGAGUAUACACUUUUCAGUAUUACCGCGCGCUCCUGUGGAAGGUUCAAACCCACCCGGGAUAGUGGGGUGCUCGCUCGCCCAGAGCGCGAAAGUGUUAAAUUCAGAUAGUAUUAUUGUCUUAUAAUUCAGAGGUCAUCAGUCCCCAAAAUGUAAUGUUUAAUUCUGUAUAUCACACAACUCCAUUUUUGCACUUUUGAAGAGAGUUUAGUGGAUUAAUACUACGUAGGCACUAUCCUGCUUGGGUUGGCCCUAUAUUAUAGUACUGUAAAGUUAUUUCAUUGGCUGGCAGUGAAUAUGCUUCUGUUUAAGUAUUUUCAUUUGAAGUCUUUAUUCUAAAGCUAGCCACGUUUGUACAUUCUCCAACAUUAUUACAUCAGCGACUAAUUCCCAGGUGAUGUUGAUUCCCUCAUUUUUCCCAGCUAUUUCCCAUUAAUGCACAUUGUACAGUAUAUUUUUAUAUUUAGGUUGUCCUCUUAUGAUUUUCUGUAUUUGUGAAAUACCUCCUUAAUUUUCUGAGUUCAACAGGCUUGGCAUUGCCUUUUGACAAUUACUCGCUUUCUUAGAUGAUAGAAUACUUCCACAAUGUAUCAAAGGUUUACUCCCUUUAAGUGCACAAAGAAUUCUCUUCAUGUUUUGGAAAAGUUCAAGAAGUGUAGAAGAGUGCCUUGAGGCAUACUGUUAGCAGGUAUUGGUCUAAGACCUUUUGCAAUGGUUUUUUGCGUUAAAGCAUUCUGCUCCUCAUCACAACAGGACUAUGCAAUGGAAGCAUGUGACAAAUGGAGUACUAGUGAAUGAUAUGCAGUCAGAGGGUACUUGAGGUAAUUAUAACCUGCCAUAGACUAUAUAGCUUAUAAAUGUAGAUAUUACUAUUUAGUCAUGCACAAAGGAUAGAUUGUAGAACACUUGCUAUCAUAGCUUUAUUUUAUGUGGAAUCAUCUUUGUAAGCCAAGCUUUCUAUCGUGUACUGGGCAGCCCAAGCAGUUAUAUCCCACUUAAUUAUUCAUUACAACAAAUGUUUGAGUACAUUACUGGUAUCUUUCUUAAACUUCUAUCCCAUAUGUUGCUUAGUAAAGAAGUAGGUGUUUCUUAUUUAGCUAACUGAAUGUACAAGGUCACCAUACUUUUAGUAUGGGAUAAAGUAGAUUAAAUAUUUCUAGAGCACAUAUAUACUGUACUUGUAUAUAACAAACAGAUGAGUACUGUAUAUGUAUAAUGUAUAUAAUUUUUUAGUUUUAGUCCUAUGUUGUAUUAAUUUUAUAAACUUUUGCAUUAUUAAUUAUGGUUAAAAAUGGCAAAAUUGCAAACUUUAAAAAGUGAGAAAUUAAUUUGUUCAAAUUUUGUUAAAAAAUGUUAAAAUCGAUAAUUGUCAGUCAAAUUGUGAAAUAUUGCCUCAAGAUUAGUAAGUUGGUGCACUUAUCAUUCCUUUUAAAUAAAACCAAAGACAGUCC